rnacentral:rRNA from 1 species
GAUGAACGCUGGCGGCGUGCCUAAUACAUGCAAGUCGAGCGAACGGACGCUAAGCUUGUGUCUUUGUUGUUAGCGGCGGACGGGUGAGUAACGCGUGUAUCCCCUACUUAUCAUACGGGUAUAAUUUCGGGAAACCGGAUCUUAUACCAGAGAAUAUUUUGCACCGCAUGGUGCAAAAGUGAGUGACGGUCUUGCUGUCUCGUAUAGCUGGUUCCGCGCUGCAUUAGCUGGUUGGUAAGGUAACGGCUUACCAAGGGUACGAUGCAUAGCCGACCUGUGGGGGGGAUCGGCCACUGUGGAACUGAGAGACGGUCCAGGCUCCUACGGAAGGCCGAGGUAGGGACGCGUGCGAAAUGGGCGAAAGCCUGACGGAGGAACGCAGCGUGGGUGAUGAAGGGCUUCGGGUGGUAAAACGGUGUUCUGAGGGAAGAACACAUGUGUAGUAAAUGUGCACAUCGUGACGGUACCUAAUCAAAAAGCAACGGCUAACUACGUG